UUGACCUCAAAUCAAGCAAGACUACCCGCUGAACUUAAGCAUAUCAAUAAGCGGAGGAAAAGAAACUAACAAGGAUUCCCCUAGUAACUGCGAGUGAAGCGGGAAAAGCUCAAAUUUAAAAUCUGGCAGUGGUUUCACUGCCCGAGUUGUAAUCUAGAGAAGUGUUGCUCACACUGGACCAUGUAUAAGUCUUCUGGAAUGAAGCGUCAUAGAGGGUGAGAAUCCCGUCUUUGACAUGGACUACCAGUGUAUUUGUAGCAUGCUCUCAAAGAGUCG
rnacentral:rRNA from 2 species